rnacentral:rRNA from 1 species
UGGGGGAUAACGCACCGAAAGGAGUGCUAAUACCGCAUGUGGUGCUCAUUCACAAGGAUGAUCACUAAAACCGCAAGGUGCUUGAAGAGGGGUUUGUCUCCGAUUAGCUUGUUGGUGGGGUAACGGCCUACCAAGGCUAUGAUCGGUAGCUGGUCUGAGAGGAUGGUCAGCCACACUGGAACUGAGACACGGUCCAGACUCCUACGGGAGGCAGCAGCAAGGAAUCUUGGGCAAUGGGCGAAAGCCUGACCCAGCGACGCCGCGUGAGGGAUGACGGCCUUCGGGUUGUAAACCUCUUUUCUCAGGGAAGAAUAAUGACGGUACCUGAGGAAUAAGUCUCGGCUAACUACGUGCCAGCAGCCGCGGUAAUACGUAGGAGGCGAGCGUUAUCCGGAUUUAUUGGGCGUAAAGUGGGCGUAGGUGGUCUUUCAAGUCGGAUGUGAAAUCUCCCGGCUCAACUGGGAGCGGUCAUCCGAUACUGGUGGACUUGAGUAUGGCAGGAGAAAACGGAAUUCCCGGUGUAGUGGUGAAAUGCGUAGAUAUCGGGAGGAACACCAGAGGCGAAGGCGGUUUUCUAGGCCAAAACUGACACUGAGGCCCGAAAGCGUGGGGAGCGAACAGGAUUAGAUACCCUGGUAGUCCACGCCCUAAACACUGGAUACUAGGUAUAGGGAGUAUCGACCCUCUCUGUGCCGAAGCUAACGCUUUAAGUAUCCCGCCUGGGGAGUACGGUCGCAAGACUAAAACUCAAAGGAAUUGACGGGGGCCCGCACAAGCAGCGGAGCGUGUGGUUUAAUUCGAUGCUACACGAAGAACCUCACCAGGGCUUGACAUGUUAGAAGUAGUGAACCGAAAGGGGAUCCACCUGUCAAGUCAGGAGCUAUCACAGGUGCUGCAUGGCUGUCGUCAGCUCGUGCCGUGAGGUGUAUGGUUAAGUCCUGCAACGAGCGCAACCCUUAUCCUUAGUUACCAGCGAGUUAUGUCGGGGACUUUAAGGAGACUGCCGGUGAUAAACCGGAGGAAGGUGGGGAUGACGUCAAGUCCUCAUGGCCCUUACAGGUAGGGCUACACACGUGCUACAAUGGCCAGUACAAAGGGUUGCCAACCCGCGAGGGGGAGCUAAUCUCAUAAAGCUGGUCGUAGUCCGGAUCGGAGUCUA